GCACAAGCGGUGGAUGAUGUGGAUUAAUUCGAUGCAACGCGAAAACCUUACCUACGCUUGACAUGUCAGGAACCUCGAAGAGAUUUGAGGGUGCCCGAAAGGGAACCUGAACACAGGUGCUGCAUGGCUGUCGUCAGCUCGUGUCGUGAGAUGUUGGGUUAAGUCCCGCAACGAGCGCAACCCUUAUCAUUAGUUGCUACGCAAGGGCACUCUAAUGAGACUGCCGGUGACAAACCGGAGGAAGGUGGGGAUGACGUCAAGUCCUCAUGGCCCUUAUGCGUAGGGCUUCACACGUCAUACAAUGGUCGGUACAGAGGGUUGCCAACCCGCGAGGGGGAGCCAAUCCCACAAAGCCGAUCGUAGUCCGGAUUGCAGUCUGCAACUCGACUGCAUGAAGUCGGAAUCGCUAGUAAUCGCGGAUCAGCAUGUCGCGGUGAAUACGUUCCCGGGUCUU
rnacentral:rRNA from 1 species